GGAGGGACAUGUGAAGUCAAGGCAAACCAUCCAGAGGUUGCCAGAUUCCAGAGGGUCAAAGCAGGGCUCCUGACUCACACAAAUGACAGAAAUUGCCACCUGAAAUGCAGUGAACUGGAACGGUAACCAGGACACGGGGGACCCACUUCACAUCUGAAGAUUCGGCUAUUGAAAACGAGAAGAAUGAGCCCGUGUGGGAUCUGGCUGCCUCUGACUCAAUGCUGUCGGCUCUGCAAGCCUCCAGGACUGUGAGGAGGGAUUUGUGAUGCCGGAAUCAAAGCAGAUACUGGAAGCUGAGAGUGGUGGUGCCUGCUUGUAGUUCCAGGAUGCUGGAGACAGAGGCAGGGGGAUAGCAAAUCUAGCCAGCCUGGAAUACAUAGCAAGAUGAGAGGGGUAGAGUGAAGGGAGGAGAGAGUGAUGGAGAGAGGAGGAGAAAGAAAGGGAGGGAGGAAGACAGAGACAGAGAGUGACAGAGAGACAGAGAAAGAAACAGAGACACAGAGACACAGAGAGGAAGAGGAGGAGAGAGGUAGAAGGAGGGAGAGAGGGAGACAGAGACAGAGAAAGAGAGAGAUAGAGAGAGACACAGAGAGAGACAUAGAGACAGAGAGAAACAGAGACAGAGAGAGAGAGAGCAAAUUCACUCCAUCAAAAGGGUCCCCAGAAGACUGGCAUGAACUUGGGCUAGCCUGUGCUCUCAAGGCCGACAAAUGCUGUUGCUGCUCCUGACACAAUCGGCACCACGAGCUUUACCCUCCUGGGCCUGAUGUGGCUUUUACAGACCUAUGGACCCGAUGCCUCAGAGGAAAUAUAAACCAUCACCACCUGGGAAUGGAGAUCUGCUCCUUCUUACGGACGGAGAGGUUUACAGACAGGCGGACAGUGAGGGUUCCACACUGAUGUGAGGGGCAGGAACAUCUUCCAUGUUCUCUCUACUCAUGUAGACCCAUGGUCUUCUGUAUUUCGGCCCCUAGGUCUGCCACGUGCAUUUAGAGCCAGGUUGUAAUUGGCUACAAAAGCAAAUAUGUCUUAGAACCUGAGAUUGCAAAGCCAGUGAGGUCAGUUCUCAGACUCCAUGGCGACUAGACCUUGGCCUGCUAAGGAUGGGAGGUCAAGUCCCUUUAUAAGAUGAUGUGUUUUCAUAGAAAUCACACACCCCUUAUGCUCUAAGUCCUAGCUGAGUGACUUGACGUCUAGCAAGGUAAGCGCUGGGCACACAGUUGCACUAAUGUCUACAAUGAGGGAAGGCCUGCAUCUGCUCAUGCUGAUGCCAUUUCUGGUGGGUUGAUGUGGAAGGCCAAAGCUUACCUAUCCAAAUGUCUCUCAUCUGCAGAAUCAUUUUCCCAGAGCCUUGAUAAAAGCAGAUAUCUCCCCACAGUGUUUUGACUUGGAAAGUGAAGCUAAUUCCUUGGGGGUGUAGUAGGUUGGGAGAAGUUUUUAGGGAGCACUCAGAGAUUCUCAUUGGUAUGGGAGGGGAGAGGAAGGCAGGAGGAGGGACAGGAAGGGGUGGGGAUGUAGGGGGAGGACAGAUGGGUGAGCAGGGAGGUGAUAGAUUGCUGAUGGCUGACAGAAACACAGGCAGCUGGGUAGACUAUAGGUAAUAGAGAGACCUAGAGUCUGCUGAGUUGACAGUCAGUCAGUGUUAACCAGACAGUGUAACAACAGACAGACAUUGUAACAACAGACAGACAGUGUGCAGAAUGAUGGUUCUGUGUGUCAACUUGAACCCUCUAGAAUCAUCAGAGAGGAAGAAGUUUCAGUUGAGAAAACGCCUCCAUGAGCUCCAGCUGUAAGGUAUUUUCUCAGUUAGUGAUGCAUGGGAGAGUUGGGCAGCCCAUGGUUGGUGGUGCUAUCCCUGGGCAAUGGUCCUGGGUUCUAUAAGAAAGCAGGCUGAGCAGGUCAUGAUAAACAAACCAGUAAGCAGCAUCCUUCUAUGGCUUCUGCAUCAGCUCCUGCCGCGGGGAUCCUGCCCUGUGAGGGUUCCUGCCCUGACUUCAAUAAUGAACAGCGAUGUGGAAG
rnacentral:lncRNA from 1 species